ACGAACGCUGGCGGCGUGCUUAACCCCUGCCAGUCGCACGGAAAGGCCUCUUUCGGGGGGUACUCGAGUGGCGAACGGGUGAGUAACACGUGAGUAACCUGCCCUUGACUUUGGGAUAACUUCAGGAAACUGGGGCUAAUACCGGAUAGGAGCUCCUGCUGCAUGGUGGGGGUUGGAAAGUUUCGGCGGUUGGGGAUGGACUCGCGGCUUAUCAGCUUGUUGGUGGGGUAGUGGCUUACCAAGGCUUUGACGGGUAGCCGGCCUGAGAGGGUGACCGGCCACAUUGGGACUGAGAUACGGCCCAGACUCCUACGGGAGGCAGCAGGGGGGAAUAUUGCACAAUGGGUGGAAGCCUGAUGCAGCAACGCCGUGUGCGGGAUGACGGCCUUCGGGUUGGAAACCGCUUUCGCUCAUGACGAAGCUUUGUGUGACAGUAGUGGGUAAAGAAGCACCGGCUAACUACGUG
rnacentral:rRNA from 1 species